rnacentral:rRNA from 1 species
GUCUACAGCCAUGCCACCCUGAACAAGCCCGAUAUCGUCUGAUCUCAGAAGCUAAGCAGGGUCGGGCCUUGUUAGUACUUGGAUGGGAGACCACCUAGGAAGACCAGGUGCUGUAGGCA